CAGCGUCGUUGCUCAGCCUAUUCUAUCGUGUCGGAAUUUCGCAUCGGAUUGGAAUCCUACAUUACUCCUCAGGUAUUUCCAUGUACCACGAAUCGGAAAUCAGUUCUCAAGUCAAAACAUCAAGAGCUAUUACUCUUCGUAGGUACCCAACCUACCUCUAGAGUCGAGAGUCAAACGUCGUCGUAACAUAUAAACCUCUCUUUCGCUAAGAGACAAGAUCAACUUCCGUCACUCGAUUAUAAGAGUACCUGUGUACCUACAACGACGUUGGGUUUCGUUUUCGAUACUAUUUUUUCCACCUUUGACUUCGAGGACUCGAAGUUGAUGAAAAUAAACACUUUGAGGUGAAUUCACGUUGGACGAUUUGCUCGUUUUGAGAUGGCCGGACCUAAUGUUAUCAAUCAGCUUUUCCGGAUACGCAGUUCCGCCCAUCGCCUUUGGAACGUUGACAAUGAAUGCUGAUUUUUCUAUACCUUUUUUCUUCGGAAACCUUUUCACCGUACCGAUAUUUACUUAUGGUUUUUCAUGGUUCGAAUUCGGAAAAACCCCGUGGGCCUGGGGCUGAUUCUAAAUAUUCAUCGUGUUAAUAGGAUUGGCAAAUCAAAAUUCCUCGACCGUGUUACGAAUGACCACUGGACUAUCUACAGCAUCUCGUGUCUUAAAAUCAGCCAUUCAACUAUUCGAACUCAUCUCCAGAGUUUAUGCUGCUGUUGAACAGGAAAGGACACCAGAUUAAGCUCGAAUUACACGAAAUUAAUCGUUCACGUGCUGUAUUCAUGGGUCGUUGGAUAUACCUACAUCAUUUUAUAUCGGUGGUCUGUGCAACGUGAGCUGAACAAACUGCCGGAUGAAGUGAAGUAGAAUCUCGGCAAAUGAGACCACUCUCGUGUCUGUUAUCAUCCAAGCUGGAUUGGUCAAUGAGGAAAAGAUUCCAACCUAUUCGUGGAAAAUGAAAACAAUCAAACUGAUCUACCUACCUACAAUGUGUUUAGAAAAUUUGUAGCGUGAAAAAGGUUAUUAUGUAUUACGAAUUGCUGAGUUCUUUUCACCCUCUGGAACGGUGGAAUAUAAGUUAUCAAGUGUAUCUAACCUGCGACCUACCAAUAAGACCAGCGAUGCGGAAAUAAAACAGAGUCAUUGGAAUAUAUUGGAAGAUGAUUUCAGCCGAUGUUUCGAAAGUUUCGACCUCGUUUGAAGGUAAGAUAUUAUUUUGAAUAAUCCUCGAAUAAUUACGAUUGGACAGGGCCGGGCUGACUCUUUGAAAAAAAGAGUUGGGUAAACUUUUUCCAAACUAAGCUUUUUUUAAAAAAGAGUCAA